CAUGUGCAGUCCGUAUGGGCUGCGCAUGUGCGACAUUCUGUACUGAGUGCACAUGCAUGGGAUGCCACACAUGCCCAGUCCGUACAGGCUGCUGCACAUGCAUAGUCCAUAUGGACUGCGCAUG